rnacentral:lncRNA from 1 species
GGCUUCAGAAUGGUCAAGGAGAAUGAGGAUUGGGAAAUUGGAUUUGACAACUAAGAGAUCACUAGUAACAUUGUAGAAAGCAGUUUUGGUGGAAUGAGAAGGUUAGAAGUGAAAUUGUGAGAGGUUAAGAAAUAUGUGAGAGAAAAUGGAAGCUACAAAUAUAGAUGGUCUUUUUGAGGUUAGCGACAAAGGGCAGAAGAGAUAUAUGACAACAGUUGGUGGGGAUUGAAAGAUCAGGCACACAGUCUUCUGAGCUAGGCAAUGCAGACAUUAUCUGCGUUCUGCUCCAAACUGGGCAUCUGAGGCUCAAGAGGUUAAUUAACCUGUUUGUGGUGACCGAAUAUUCCUUGCCAACUACAUAUACGAUUCAACAUUGGAUGCAUUAGAGAUUACAGACUCCCAAGAAUUUCUGGCUGUGGGGUGAUCUAGUCUUGAAAAGGCGUGGCAUUUUUGUAUGAAGUACCAAACUUGGUCUUCUCCAUGACUCACGAUAGCAGGAAUGUUGGGCAAUGCAUUGCUUCAAAAAAGAGACAUCUUCCAGCUCUUUUGUAUGACAUGUAGAAUAUUUUGUUUCUAAUGGAGGAGAUAAGCUGUGUUCUUUUCUACAAUCCUCAGCUGCUCCAUGUAGAAUAAACACUCAACUAGGAAAGUGAAU